GAUGAACGCUGACAGAAUGCUUAACACAUGCAAGUCAACUUGAACUUCGGUUUGGGUGGCGGACGGGUGAGUCACGCGUAAAGAACUUGCCUCACAGCUAGGGACAACAUUUGGAAACGAAUGCUAAUACCUGAUAUUAUGAUUUUAGGGCAUCCUAGAAUUAUGACAGCUAUAUGCGCUGUGAGAGAGCUUUGCGUCCCAUUAGCUAGUUGGAGAGGUAACGGCUCACCAAGGCGAUGAUGGGUAGCCGGCCUGAGAGGGUGAACGGCCACAAGGGGACUGAGACACGGCCCUUACUCCUACGGGAGGCAGCAGUGGGGAAUAUUGGACAAUGGACCAAGAGUCUGAUCCAGCAAUUCUGUGUGCACGAUGAAGUUUUUCGGAAUGUAAAGUGCUUUCAGUUGGGAAGAAAAAAAUGACGGUACCAACAGAAGAAGUGACGGCUAAAUACGUG
rnacentral:rRNA from 1 species